GUGUAACUGUGGACUCUUCUCUUGUUUACAGACAUCAGGCAAUGCCUUACCAGAACAAUUAUUGCCUCAUACCACUUCAAAUACUGAUGCGGGUGGAAAAAGACAAAUGUCUGAAGCAUGCUCCCCUCCCUGGAAUGUGUUAGGAAAAGACCAGUCCCUCAGUCAAUAAAAAGGAUUAAAUCUCUUUUCUACAAAAUGAACUCCUUGGAGGAUCUUCAUAGCUCAGGCAAAUACUAUUUCAAGAGAUUCUUCAGCAAACAGGCCAGAAGGUUCUCUGUGAGUAUACUAAAAAAUAAAUACACGAUGAGGAUUCAGGCAUUUGUGCUAAUGAAACGGAACUGGAAACCAAAGUUUCUGCAAAUACAAGGACUGAGAUAUAUCUGUUACAAAUGGAUAUGAAGUCAGAAAGUUUGAAUAUAAAGUAAGUACAUUUUGGACCAAGAACAGAAACCCAGGCUUUGCAUCUCCAUAGGAAAUGGACUAACCAUUGGACUAGACAGUUAUUACCAUUAGCCUUGGUGGUCUUUGCAUGGUUUUUGAAGAAUUUUACAAAGUGGAACAAAGCUACCACAGGAGCAAGGAAGGAAACAGACUGUUUCCCCUGCCUCUCUCUCCUUGAACAAAGUAAGAAGGUAUCUUUAUCUUUCUGAUUAGAAGGAAAUGGCUACAAACGAAGGUGAUGUCACUUUGAAUAUCGUCAGCAAUGGACCCUUUAGAUGCACCGAGGUAUCCUAGCCCAGAAGUCUCAAGAUGAUUAGUCAUGAAGACAAGAGAAAGCAGAGGCAAACAGUAGUACGCAACUGACGAAAAAAUGCCAUCUUAUCAUUUGAAUUUAUGCUGGUACAACUCUGCCGCUGACCAUCAACAAGAUAAGGAAGUUUAUCUCAGUUUUCUUCUUCCUCGUUGAGUGCUGUAACAUUACAACAUUUUAAAAGGGAGGAUAAAUGUGCAAAUGCCAUUGGAAGCUUGUGACCAUCUUCACUCUGUUGGAAGAUGAUCUCUAUGAAUGUCUGCCACGUAAAGUUCCACAGUGAAGCUCAGCAGGAGAUGCCAGUGGGAUACAGAGAGGAGAUAAGCAUCACCAGUCAAGCAGCAUGAGGGAGAGGCAGUUCUCAGCAAGUACAGCAAAUCAACUUACAGAGAAAAACUAUAGAAACAUCUGAAAUUUGAAGCAUUCUCAUCCACAGCUGUAUCAAACCUUAACUAUUCAACCCUAUCUCCCUCUGCCAGUGAAGAUAGUCAGUAACUAUUUCAUAGGAGGAAGGAAAGGAGGUGAGAAUACUUGGAAGUCUCUGAUUCUUGGCAUCUGUCACAGACCUUACUUGGUCUAGAUUAUGUCUUCACCGCAGCUAAAUUCUGUAUUAACAGGUCCACAGAUUUAAGCAUGACAAGUGAAAGUAUCAAUCACUAAGCAAUACCCCUAAGGAACCUGAAGGUGAGUGUAGGCUACAGCCCCAGCCUCAGAUACCCAGGUGGAUUUUCUACUCUGUCACAGUGUCCUAUGAAGUUCAGGCUUUGUAAUUAGUGGUAAUGAAUUAGCUUUAGCUGCCUUUAAACUACGACAUCAGCAUUAUUGAACCUUUGAGCUGUUAGUCCACUGAAAAUAUCUGGAUAAAAUUCUCUAAUAUUUAGUUAAUUAUUCCUGUAAACAUAAUUCCUGAUGAUUAUUAUAUUUCCAAAAACUGGAAAAAAAAUGCCAAAGAUAACUGCUAUUUCAUUGAAAAGUCCUGAUAUAGUUGGGUUAAUGGGUCUUACUUACAUGGUUGUUUAUUAAGGAUCUAUCUCUUAUGUGUGAAGGCAGAAAAACAAAAUGCUCUAAGAUACCUCUGCAUUUUUCUUUCCUCUCCUCAAAUUACAAACAUCUAAAUAUUACUUAAAUUUCAAUCCAGAGAGAAAGAAGAAGGAAAGUGUAGGCAAUACAUACUGCCAAAGAGAAGAUGUAAAUGAAGAACACCGUAUGAAAAUACCUAAAUAAUUUAGAACAGACACUGUGAAGACAGAGAAAAUGCUAGAAGCAAAAUGCCUUUUAUUGUAACAAAUUCCUCAGCACUUUUCAGAAAGUAUGUGGAUUAAAGAAAAAACAGUGCAGACAGGGUAAGAAGUGGCAGCAAUACAGGAAAGGCAAAUGGGAUAGGAAUGGCAAAGGCAGAAGCAGCAGGAGCAUCUCUGAUGUGACAUGCUCAGCCAUGGCAUCUUGAGUUGAGGCUUUGCUGCUGGCUCCUUCCUCCUGUUCUCAUCUCACUUAUUCCUGUGCUGUGCACAGUCCCCAUUACAGCCUCGGUGAGGAAAAC